rnacentral:lncRNA from 1 species
CUUCGCAUCUGGUGCGUCUAAGCUUUUAAAGCUGUGUGGAGCUCAUCUGCCACUGGUGUGCUGACCCACAGAGGACGAUGCGUUGGAAGAUGACUAAAGUUUUGUAAAGCUUAGGAGGAGAUGCAACUACCGAGGCGAUGACCUAUAGGGAACUUCGAGUCAGGUGCGUCUAAGCUUUGUAAAGCUAAGUGUGGAACUCAUCUGCUCGAUCUGAGGUGAACAUUUUUGACGUUAAAUGAUUUGACAGUUAUCGCAUAUUUCUAAGGCGACAGUUGUGUGUGAUGCCCAUUCCCAGAAAAGGUUACUGCAGCUACUUAUUGUAGAUGGUUGAUGGUGAUCGAGGCGACGCGUUUCACGUGAGCGUGAGGGUCAUAGCUAGAUCUUGGGCGUAGAUCAAAUCUAGCGUUCCAUUUCAACGGCCUAGAUUGAUGAUGAGACGGACGGCCUAGAUUGAUUGCAUUUUAAUUCAACGGUGGAGAUCAGUUGGGACGCUCUAUAAAAGGCGGACUUGAGCGUUUGGGGAGUUUUUCACUUUUGCAAAAUCAGAAACUCCAUUUGCUCUCAAAACUCUUGCAUUUUUCGGCGUUCUUCAAGCAUUUUUCGAUGACAACUCCAGUUUUCGACGACUCUACAGUGUUUCCUGACCAUUUUCGACUGUGGAGCCCCCAUUUCGUGAGUUUCAGUAAGUAUUUGACAUCUUUCAUUUCUGAAAAAUGGCUUCUGAAGGUAAUGAUAGCUCGGAGAGGGGGCUGGAAUUAGUACGAAUGGACGAGACCAUUUUGGCGACCUCCUCCAAACUUUUUGAAGCGAUAAUUGGGGGGGAGAAUAUCUGGAAGAGGUCUAAUAGUCCAGUAGACACGUCUGUGCAUUGGGGGACGUCAGAUUACCCUUCUAAGCUAAAAAGUGCUGACCUGGAUAGACUUAGGAUGGAAUAUAGGAUUCCAGACAGUGUAGAUCUGAUCCUACCCGAACUCGAUAAGAGAACCUGCUACCCUAGGCCAGGGUGCGUAGCAAUUAGCGAAGCGAUUCUUA